AGGGGGCUAGCGUUGUUCGGAAUCACUGGGCGUAAAGCGCACGUAGGCGGAUGUGCCAGUCAGGGGUGAAAUCCCGGAGCUCAACUUCGGAACUGCCUCUGAUACAGCACGUCUUGAGUCCGGAAGAGGUGGGUGGAAUUCCUAGUGUAGAGGUGAAAUUCGUAGAUAUUAGGAAGAACACCGGUGGCGAAGGCGGCCCACUGGUCCGGUACUGACGCUGAGGUGCGAAAGCGUGGGGAGCAAACAGG
rnacentral:rRNA from 1 species